ACUCAAAUGAAUAGACGGGGACCCGCACAAGCGGUGGAGCAUGUGGUUUAAUUCGACGCAACGCGAAGAACCUUACCAGGGCUUGACAUCCCGCGCAAUACAUUGAAAGAUGUAGUUUACUCUUUCGGGAGUAACGCGGAGACAGGUGGUGCAUGGUUGUCGUCAGCUCGUGUCGUGAGAUGUUGGGUUAAGUCCCGCAACGAGCGCAACCCCUAUUUUUAGUUGCCAGCGAGUAAAGUCGGGGACUCUAAAGAAACUGCCGGUGACAAACCGGAGGAAGGUGGGGAUGACGUCAAAUCAUCAUGCCCUUUAUGUUCUGGGCUACACACGUGCUACAAUGGUCGGUACAGAGGGAAGCGAAGGAGUGAUCUGUAGCGAAUCCCAAAAAGCCGGUCUCAGUUCGGAUUGCAGGCUGCAACCCGCCUGCAUGAAGUCGGAAUCGCUAGUAAUCGCGAGUCAGCAUAUCGCGGUGAAUACGUUCCCGGGUCUUGCACACACCGCCCGU
rnacentral:rRNA from 1 species